UCUAAUAUGGCAGAUUAGUGCAUUGGAUUUAAACCCCAAUUAUAAAGUUAUACUUUUUUUAGAA
rnacentral:tRNA from 1 species